rnacentral:rRNA from 1 species
ACACAUAUCCAUACCACGUUGAAAGUACCGGUUCUCGUCCGAUCACCGAAAUUAAGCAACAUCGAGCCUAGUGAGUACUGAGAUGGGUGACCGGUUGGGAAACUUAGGUGUUGUAAGCG